ACAGGAGCGAGCACACCCCCGCUGGCAGAGGAGCUUCACUCGUCCCCACUGCUGCUUCUGUCAAGACCAGAGUUUCUAGACUAGAGGAAAAAUCCUCCUGGUGAAAAGGGACCUAGAAGACUUGGUUGUACUUCCUACCAUUUCCUGACUCCCAGAGGACCCUGAACUCUGAAAUAGACAGAACCAAAGCCAGAAAGAAUUUCUUCAACAGAAAAAGGAAGUUCACAGUGACUUUCUGGUGACAUACCUGGCCAAAACAUGGGCCUGGUUUAAGCCUCUCGCCCACACAGCUGGUGCACCAGUUCACAGGAAGUGGAGGGGUGGAGACACAAAUUCAAGAGUGACAAGAAGCCGCUGGGCUGGAGCCACUGAGCUUGACUCAGUGGCAGAGUGCUUGCCUGGCAUGCUCAAGGCCUGGGUUUACCUCCAACAUGAAAAAAAGGGGAGUGAGGAGAAGUCUUAGUGGGUACACAGCUUGCCUUGUAAAUACACGGAUCUGAACAUGAUGCCAGCCCUGGAAAGGUGAAGAAAGGAGGGUUCUUAAGGCUCACCACCAAGUCAGUGAGCUCCAUGCCACUGGGAAGCAUGUCUGGGGACUGACAGCCAGUGCUGCCCUCCAUUUGAACGCACACAUACUCCUGCACCUGAAAGUUGUUGGGGAGCAGAUUACAACCUUGCAUCUUGGAAGAAAGCUUUUUAAAACAUAGGAUGUUAAAGAGAAGUGAAACAAAAGGCUGUUUUAGUCUCACGUGGUACACACCCUCAGGACUAAGGCAAGGAGCUACAGAGCAGACCACCUGGUAUCUUCCUCUGACCUCCUAGACUGUGCUAGCCCUGAACUUUUAGCAGUUGGAAGGCUGAGGUAGAGGCAUCAAAAAUUCAAGGUUAGCCUGAGCCAAUACAGGAAGACUUUGUCAGAAACCUAAAAGAUAAAUAAUAAAGCAACCAUCAAGACUCCAAACAAAGGGAAAGCUAGGUUUGGACUCUGGGAGGUGCAUGGGUUCUGGCACAGCGGCAGGUGCCAGCGAUGUCUGCGGAAAGGCUGAGCUCAGCUGGCACAGAGCUAAGGAAGUGGGUUGGUGCUGCUCACUCUAAGGAACAAAAUGAAGCAGCACAGUACAGACCUAAAAGGGUACAGGCAGGAUUUAAUCACACAAUGCUCGACCCGAAUUACACCAUGCAUCUACAAACAGACUUAGAAACCUACAAAGCCAUGCACCUGGGCUGGUGCUGGGCACGGUGGGACAUUUGCUACCGAGAACAAAGGUCUGGGUUCCAAUCCCAGUGCUGGGGAGACCAUCUGGGACAGCCUGGAGACCGUCUGGGACCUGAAGCAGUGAGGAGGGGUCUGUGGGUCAGGAAAGAUUCCAGCUCGGGGGAGUACAGGUAUAAUGAGUCAGGAGGAUCAGGAGUUCCCUCUCAUCCUCAGCUGCAUAGCAGGUUCGAGGCUAGCCUGGGCCACAGACCUUGGGUGCUGGGGAAAAGCAGCUUCUGAAGCUAUGCUGUGUGGUUUAGUAGGCUUAGCCUAUGGCUGAUAGAAGCAAGAGAGAGCAGACCCCAGGCUAGCUCAGGGCUGGCUCUAGUUUCCACCCCAACACAACAAAGAAAAAUAAAAUGAAAUCAAGCCGGUU
rnacentral:lncRNA from 1 species